UCAUGUUGAAUUGUGCUGGGCCAUCCCCA
rnacentral:piRNA from 1 species